AAUUAUAUAAACGAUUACAUAUUGAAGAGAUCUCCUUCGUUCUCUUUCCUACGUGGCUUCCUCUCAAUCCUUUAUUCUCUUCUCUCUUAAUUCUCUCAAAUCUCUAUUCUCCAUUCUCUAAUCCACGUAGAGUUUGAUAGGAAUCAAUAGAUUCAAUACACACCAAAUCAAAAUGCCUUAAUUUCUCAUCCUAAAGCAAUAAUUGAAUCAGUUUCAUCAAUCAUCGUUUCCAUUGCUUGAUUCUAGCAACCUUUCUCGCCCCAAUCCAUGUCAAUAUCAAUAACACAGUUUUUGGGGGUAAUUCAAUAAUUCGCUAAAUCCAUGUCAUGACACAAUUUUGGGAGGCGCGACUCCAGAUGGGGCGACUCCACGCGGGUGCGACUCUCCUCCAUCCUAUCUCCUUCCCUAUCGUCCGAACCCACCGGCACGGCGGCGACGCGAGGGCAAAAGAGAGACGCUGACAUAAUCAUUGUGGGUGCCGGAGUCGCCGGCUCCGUCUUCGCUUACACUCUCAGAAAGGCUUGCUUCUCCAGUGUUUGGUAAACUAGAAGCAGAGUUGGCUGAAGGUUUGUGAGUUGAACACUCAAGUUUGAGAACUGCCAACUCCAUUGCUGGUACAAUCAAAACCAAAUCAAUUCAUAUCAAGACUAUAAUUACAUCUUAAGAGUUUUUUUUGGUAGUUAAGGGUUGAUUCAACACACCAUGGAUAUCGAAGUGGGGCUUUCAGAGACAACAUUCAAUUUUUCUUCAUGAUUUCACGGAGAUUCAAGACUACUGCAUUAACGGAAUGCCGGUUUGGUGCACUUCGUUUCCAAGAACAAUGUCAUCUGCCCCUUCCACACCGUGGAGGAAACCGUUCAGGACUCUCUCGACCCCUUCUGCAAUUACUGUGAAUUAUCAUGUUUUUUAAUAUGGUUUCAGUGUUUCCAUUUCAAUCUUCACUUUUUCUUGAGAAAAUUCUUAUAUGUAUGCUUCGAAUUCACUUUUCUUUUUCUUAUAAUUGCAUCAGAGUAUCCUUAGUUUGCAUGAUUGACUCAAUUUCAUCAUCAAGAAGUUCUCUUUGAUAAUUGCAGUUGAGUUUUGUCUUUUUUUGCUGGUGGUUCAUUUAGUUUCUUUAUGCAGGUUGGGGUCACCAUUUUGCUUGCAAGCGAAAGUACCAUUUUAUAAUUCAUGCAAAAGUAGAUUGGAAUGAGUAAUUGGACGAAGAUUUUGCGGAACUUGAGAGCCUUCAAUUGUAUAGAUUGAUUCACUGCAAUGGAUUCGAGCAUCUCAUCUGCAUCAACGGUUUGAAAUACAAUUCAAAUUUGUUUUGCACAGAGGAUAGUAUGGAAUUAUGGGACCGUCUAUGCACUCUUCUUAGAGCCAGAUUCAGUUUUCUUCAACACGUGCGCUUUUAUCAAUCUUUGGAUUUAGUUCAGAAACAGGGGAAACAACACUGAUGAGGUUAGAGAAACUGGUGGAUUCGAUGAGAAAAAGCUGGUGGCCAGCAAGAAGGCUUGAGCACGUGCUCCUCGUGAUCGUUGAUCUAUUGAAGGAGCACAAGAAUGAGUCUCGGGCGCAAAUGUGGCAUGUCGCGACAAGAAUUGAGAGACGAGGCGAGGAGGUAGAUUGGGGACAGUGGCUUGAUCGAUUUCGUGCUCAAGUCGAUAAACAGUUUUAUAGUGGAGAAUCAGAUUAUCCGUCGUGCCACGAAUCCCUUAUCCAUGUGUGGUGUUUCACGAAAAUUUUGGUGACAUAAUUUGAAGAAAUGAUUAACUUUGCUUGGUGCACAACUAUUAUUAAUUGUUUUAUUGAGAUAUAGUAUUUCACAAUAGAGAUUUAUGUUAUGGAAGUUUUGAGUUAUAUAAGUAA